rnacentral:lncRNA from 1 species
UUUAAUUCAUUGUGUGAUGCAUUUGACUUGUGACCAUGGUGGGAGCGCGCUUCUGGACCGCCUGAUGUGUCCACGUCAUUUAAUAAAUUCCAUCCAAGCGCUGUUGAUUUUUCAUAUUUUCUAUUUUCUGUUUUAUUUUCUUUUAAUUUCUUUUAUUUUUAAAAAUUCAUAACUAUUUUAUUUGAAGUCAUAAAAAUAUGAGACCAAUGGCAAAAAAUUUCUUGAAAAAUCUAGUUUCAUAAUCUGAUUUUUAAUUAUUUUUGUGACUUUAUUUAAUAUUUUUUGUGAAUUAUUUUGUUUUUAAUAGUUUUUAAUUCAUUUUAAAUACUUUGUGAUAUCCAAAACUUCCAAAAAUAUUUUCUUAACACAUAUGG